rnacentral:rRNA from 1 species
AUUGAACGCUGGCGGCAUGCCUUACACAUGCAAGUCGAACGGCAGCACGGGGCAACCUGGUGGCGAGUGGCGAACGGGUGAGUAAUGCAUCGGAACGUACCUUUCAGAGGGGGAUAACGUAGCGAAAGUUACGCUAAUACCGCAUAUUCUGUGAGCAGGAAAGCAGGGGAUCGCAAGACCUUGCGCUGAUUGAGCGGCCGAUGUCAGAUUAGCUAGUUGGUGAGGUAAAGGCUCACCAAGGCGACGAUCUGUAGCGGGUCUGAGAGGAUGAUCCGCCACACGGGAACUGGAACACGGUACAGACUCCUACGGGAGGCAGCAGUGGGGAAUUUUGGACAAUGGGGGCAACCCUGAUCCAGCCAUGCCGCGUGAGUGAAGAAGGCCUUCGGGUUGUAAAGCUCUUUCGGCCGGGAAGAAAUCGCACGGGCUAAUACCCUGUGUGGAUGACGGUACCGGAAUAAGAAGCACCGGCUAACUACGUGCCAGCCGCCGCUGUAAAAC